GACGAACGCUGGCGGCGUGCUUAACACAUGCAAGUCGAACGGAAAGGCCCCUUUGGGGGUACUCGAGUGGCGAACGGGUGAGUAACACGUGAGUAACCUGCCCUUGACUUCGGGAUAACUUCAGGAAACUGGGGCUAAUACCGGAUAGGAAUCCUUGCUGCAUGGUGGGGGUUGGAAAGCUUCGGCGGUUUUGGAUGGACUCGUGGCUUAUCAGCUUGUUGGUGGGGUAGUGGCUUACCAAGGCUUUGACGGGUAGCCGGCCUGAGAGGGCGACCGGCCACAUUGGGACUGAGAUACGGCCCAGACUCCUACGGGAGGCAGCAGUGGGGAAUAUUGCACAAUGGGCGGAAGCCUGAUGCAGCAACGCCGCGUGCGGGAUGACGGCCUUCGGGUUGUAAACCGCUUUCAGCAGGGGCGAAGCUUGUGGUGACGGUACCUGCAGAAGAAGCACCGGCUAACUACGUG
rnacentral:rRNA from 1 species